CGCGCCGGAGCCGCGCGCCGCCGUGAGCUACGUGGAGCCGGCGCAGUGCCGCUGCGAGUGCCACCACUCCGACCCGCCGCGCACGCUCAGCUCGUCGUCGCCGGAGUGCGAGCCCUUCACGGCCGACCUCGGGCUGCGCGGCGACGGCGCGCGGCAGCUCCCGCGGCCGCACUGACCGCCGCCGCGGCGCCCGCGCCUCCUCUCUCUGAACAAAUCUUACCUUUUAUAAAUCAUAUUCUCUACUAUUGACUACGAGAUGUUAUCAUUUUUGAGAUGUAAAUUUACCUGGUUCAUUAGGAUAUAUUUAUAGCUCUCCUAUUAGCCUCGUUGACCUUGCAUUUUUGAUGUUUAUUGAAUUGUUCGAGGUGUAUAUUGCGGUUUUUAUGCGAUUGUCGCGAAUCGAGAGGAAUUUCGAGUAAUAGUGAGGUGUUUUGAGCGAGAACGCCGGCGGAGCCUUUACUCGCGCGAUAACUACAGUGCAACAUUUGCCUGGAGUUGCUGGAGCCUUAUUGCACAAUAUCCAGCAAUGGUGCUUAUUCCGAACAUAAUUAAUGGUAAGUAGCUACGACCAAUGAGAUUACAACGACAUUAUAUCUCGAUAUUUAAAAACACGUUUUGUGCGUGGGAUAGUUGAUAGACGCAACGAAUUAUUCUUAAAUGUUGGACGCCAAAUGUUGCCAAGAGAAUACUACCCACAUUAAAAAAAUAUAUAUAUAUCACACACACUAUGUUUAUCGGAAACAGAAAAUAAAGUCUUCUCAUUUGCUGAUAAAAAAAUAAUAAUUCGGUUGUAAGUAUAACGUGUUAUAACCCUCUCGGGUGUGUCAGCUUCGCUCGCUCAAGUAAAAUGUAGUUGUUUUAUUAUUUUCAUCGAAUAUCAUAACGAAGGUCCAAAAAUGGCGGUAGUCUGACACCCCCAGGGGGCCGCCCCGUGGUGGUAGUCUCGUCACAGUGAAUCUAUGAAAUGUAACAAAAAAUAAAAGAAAGGAAGGCGAAGUCUAUACACACAGAAGGCCGGGUCCGAGUAAAGGCUCGCCGCCGGCAAAAAUUGUGCACUUACGUUUUAUACCGCCGUCAUCACGCUUCCCGGCACCGUUACUUUGUGUAAGUCCUGACGUGUAGAGUUCACCUUCUGUUGCUUAUCAUAAUUAUACUUAUUGUAAAAACUUUUAACGUUUCUUGUUAUCGUCUACAAAUGAUUUCGACGCGAUGAUUUUGUGAUAUGUGAAUAAACAUAAAGGCGUGUAAAGAUAUAUUUAUUGUUGUUGAAGCGGAAUCCUUCGUAGUGUAUAGUAACUAGGUAGACGCCUAGCGCCGUGUUCAAAAUGUACCUUAAGCCACGUAUGCGCAACAAAAGAUGCAUUUAAGACUUUUUGUGACUUUCAAUCUCGAUGUUUUCACUAUAUUUUAUGUCUAAUGUACUGUGUCGCAAGGGGAUACUAUGUGGUAUUAAUAAUUUCCAAAAAACUAAUAAUGUCUCGAUAAUUUCAUAAGUUUAGCAUAAAUUAACAAAAUAAUAUUGGAAUUCUUCAGAGUUGUGCAAAAGAAUGUAAAUAUCCGAAAUUAAUAAAUAUAAUCAGAUACAUAUGUAUGUACAUUAAAUUUCGUGUUAAAUUUAUGCGUAACGUUUUCUCUUUGGACCGAAGAUACUCUUAUUCCAGUGGCCUUCACUUGACACCGACUGAUUCGUCCAAGGUUCCUACCCCAGUACCACGCAGUAUCCCGCGGGAGACGAAUGCCGCAGACCAGCGCGCGCUCGCUUAGCGAACUCUUAGUUAACUCGAUCAUGCAAUAAUAUGUAAGGAUGUAUGUAUAAUGUUAAUUCCAUCAGU